UGUGUGAAUUUUGUGACCCUGUGUGCAAGAGAUUUCCAUACGGAAGCGUGAAAGAGGAGGGCCAGUACCGCAGUUCUGUCCCUUCGCGAGAAGGCCAGUCGGGAAAAGCCCGAGCGCAAGUGUGUGUGAAUGUGAAAAGGGUCCAUACUUAGGAGGUUGGCCUGGGAAUAGCUGUUCGACCGGGGGGUGAGAGGCCUGACCCCGUUUCUGACCCCACCUGUCCACCACAGCCGGUACGCUUAAAGGAGGGGACAAGUGUUCCCAGACCCAAGCCUGAGGGGGGCGGACGGCGUGCGCCAAGGCCCAGCCCGGUGUUAGUGGAGAUAAGGGAGGCAGAGGCGAAAAAACCCGUUAGGCUAUUCUUGCAGUGGUUUGGUUAGGUUGGAUUGGUUAGGUUGGGAAAAUUAAGUUAAGGAAACUGGAAAUUGGGAAGUUAGUGAGAAUAGGGACAAGGGUUAAUAGUUAGGGGAGAUAGGAAACAAUAGGGAAAUAAUUAGAACACCCCCUUCAGCACCUCCUAGAUAAAUUUAACUAUAUUAAAAGAAUUAUUAAAAGCUCAUGAGCGUUAAUUAAGUAAAUUUAUGGUCUGACCACCCACAUCUUGGUCAGAAUUUGCCUCGUUGGCCACUAAGAAACUGCCAUCGACGUGUGAGUAAAUUAGCUCGCAAAGUUAUCAAGUUUAAAAGCCUUAAAGAUGCAAGACCAGAGAGUCAGGGAUGAGGAUGGUUUUCCACCGCCCCAUAUGAAUGCCCCAUCCCACAUUCAACCAAAUCUACCUCAGCGGGCACCCUUUUUCUAUUUUUCUGCCCCACGAUUCCCAUGGGCACCGCCACCCCGACUUCCCACUCCCAAUAUGAGACCAGUCCCGGGGAGACUGUCAGGGAGCCUGCCAUCUGGCCCGUCAAGGGGAUAUGCUCCACCUGGACCUGGAGCGGGACCGUCUUCUCCCAGUGCCCCUAGUUUUAGAAGUGGGAGUGUUGGCUCCGACUUGGGAGGGGAUAGAAGCUCAACUCCUGGGGAAUCAGCUAGGGAUACGAGAAGGUGCCCACCCCAGAGACCCAUGGCCACGGGCACACCAAGGAGUCAGUUGGGAACAAUGGUUGUGGGGGAUGGAUUGCUCCUAGUCCCUUUCCACCUUGGACCUUUAAAACCGGAGACAAGAACUUCUGCCCUAUUGGCAUCAGCCGUGCAGCUGACUAUUGGCCAACCAGGCCAUGUCCCGGACAGGGGAAGAAAGGUACGAGGGCCACGGGGAAGUCGCUGUUUCUGCUGUGGCCAGACAGGCCACUGGAAGAGGGAAUGUCCUGACCUUAAGGAGGGAGAGGGUGCUGUCUCUCCACCACAGGCAGAGAAAAGCGGGGAACAACCAAAUCCCCAAUCAAAAACGGAACCCAUUGCUGUUCCAAGCCUUUCUUUGUGGACGGAUGGGACAUCCUUUUUAUUUAAUGGACAGAAAUAUAUGGGAUAUGGAGUGAAGACUGAAGAGCACUUGGUGUUCUUAACAAGAAUAUUCCUACCAGGCUCUACUCCAGAGACCGAACCAUUGGGAAGGGAGAAAGACAUGAAAUAAGACAAUGGCCCUGAUGCCAGAGAAGAUCAGCUGGCAGAAAUGGGUGCUUAAUAAGCAGCCUAAAUAAAAAGGGAGGUCUGUUAAUAGUUGAGCAUUCAAUGGCUUUUGUACUCUGCAUGCCAUUUAGAAAACCAGGAAUAGAUAACAUCUAAAAGUGCUUUUACACACAUAUAUAUAUAUUUUUUUUAUGAACUCGAGUUAGAGGCCCUUUUUUGGCCCCAAGAAUAACAUCUUUUUGCAAUUGCUUUUAUUAUAUACCGGUAAAAUUCUAAUAAAACACUACAUGUGUGGGCCCAGCAAGGAAACUCCCCUUAUACCAUCAUGCUCCAAGCACACGCUAUGGAGAAAGGAGGGGGGGAAAGGAAAGAGCCCCCUGAGCCUGUGAGAGAAGGCUAAGGGAGAUUUUUGGGGAAGAAAACAAUGCUGUCUGUGCUUUCUCUAAGCUCAAAGCAGCUAACUUCCUGUCUGUUUCUGUGUGUGUUCAUCUUGGCCCAAAGCCAACACUGCUGCUGCUUUUGUCGUAUGAGCUAUCGUCCUGUUUGUGUGUUUGUGUGUAUGUGUGUUCAACUUGGCUAAGAGCCAACACAGUAUUGCUGCUACUGUUCAAUUGUACCUGUUGCAGCAAAAAGCCAAGAAUAGGCUUCUCCAAAUGGAGGCUGUUUCUUGUUCUCUUUUUUUCUUUCUCUCUUUUUCUUGUCCCAGCUGUAGCAUUACGGUUGGGGGAAGGAAAUGAGGAAGUGGAGUUAGAGGGAGGCCAGCUUAACUGCCGCUCCUAAAAGUUGUACAACCAGCCUAAAGUUUUGCUGCCACAUGAAAUGGAAAUUGAAGGAUAUUGAGCUCUGUACAAGAGACCACAAAACAGAGAAAUGGGAAAAUAUGUAAAAGGAUUUUGGUUGAAGGUGGUUAGCAAGGCAAAGAAAAGAAAUGGAUAGUAACAUCUGAGUGUGUCCUCCAGAUUCGGAGAAAGCUCCCUUGCACCUGCAGGAACUCACUUGCUGGCUGCAGGCUUUUUCCUUUUGUCUUUGUGAUCAGGCUGAAAAGACUAAGAGUCUCCUCCAGGUCGUCCAGCGGAGCCAGCCAGGAACUUUUUUCAUUCUCAAGCAACUUCUGCAUUUUGUUAAAGGCAAACAGGCUCUUCUACCUCUCAUCUCGUAUCUUUGUCAGACACCAGUUUUGCUAAGUCAGGAGGCUAAAAGAUGGAAAACAGAAACAUCACAAUAAAGUACAUGUGACCUAAAUGGAAGUUCCAAAGCCAGAUGUCACUGACGAAUCAUCCCUGUAUGGAGAAUGAAGUCAGGAAUGCUGGAAUAAAGAUUGUGAGCCCUGAUGAAGGUCUGUAAGUAUGAUUGUCAACCAAGCGUUGUGCAAGCAGUUAGAGUGUGGGAAUAGGACCGAAGAAACUGAGUCCAAACCCCAUUCAGCUGUGAUAUUUGUUGGGUGACACAGAGCCUGCCACUCAAAAGGUUUGACCUACCUCACGGGGUUGUUGUUAUACAAGGGAAAAUGGGAUACGGAAACCAUAUGGAAACGGGACUUUGUGAGCAGUCAUGCCCAGAGAGGGUUCUGGUGAAACUCAAACGCUGAACUUAUAUGCUACAGCCUUUUGAUUGAUAAGACUAUGUUGAAUCUGAAAAAGUUUAAUGCCUCCUCAACACCUAAAAACUCAUGAGAAGAGUGUAUGCAGAAAAAUGUGAAUGCCUUUUUCUUUUUUGAUCUUGUUGUUUGCUUUUUGCCUAGGAACACCUUUUGUUUGAAGACAUUGUUUUUUGUUUUUGGCUUCGGGAAAAGGGCACAGGCCCGGGGCAAGCAGGGAAACAAAAGCAUAAAUUGGGAAGAUUAACAUGCCAAAGGACCAAAUUGAAAAUGGCCUCAGGAUUUAUCUAUCUUUUGUAUUACUUGUCUUGAAAACUUUACCUUUUCUGUUUUGGCUAGUAUUGACACCUAGGGACUUGAUUUUAGGAUGCCUCCUCUAUGGGGGGAGGGAGAAUAUUGGCAACUCACUUGUCUGUUUUCUCUCAAGUAAACAGGGUUUUGUAACCAACAGUGCCUUGAAUUAUCUUUCCAAGAAGGGUUUUCCUCAGAUGACAGAAGUAUCCUGCAUAUAAUCAUUAGACUGUGGUCCCAAAGGAAACUCCAAAAGGACAUCAACAGUGACCCAGGAGAUUAGCUGCCAGCGACAAGCAUCCAAUGGCAACAGAUUGUUCACCUGCUAAUUUGUCUUGUGUUGAAUAAAUUCUGGGCAUAUAAAGGAGAUUCAUGAAGCCUACAGCUUCAGAAUCUGAAAAUAAAAAGGGAGGAAAUGUGAGGGCUAGAAAAAGCUGUGUUUUGCCUUUGGCAUAACUGUAGCCAUUUUGCUUCUGUAAUACUGCUAAAAGCUGAUUAGGAAAUAAAUGAUAGUAAGAAAUUGCAAGCAAAUCUCUUUUUGGGUGUUGUAAGCAUUUCUGAGUUCCAGACAGGACAGGAAGAUAACACUUGAGAAAUGCUUAAGCUUAGAAACCGCAAGCGGAAAGACAGGAAGCCACCUCUUGAUAUAUGUGACACCAUGUCUGGAACGACAACUUAUUUGAAUAUAGCCAAUAGCAUUGAUUCUACAGAAAAGGGGAACUGAGGGAGGGGGCUUGUUGCUUGUCACUGCUUGUUAAGGUAUAAAAUUGAUUGUAACUGUUCCUGCUGUGUGCCAUUUCUCUCUUGCAUUGAAAUGGACACCCUUUACUCAGCUGAAUAAAGAUACUUAAUUCUC